GACGAAGGGGGCUAGCGUUGCUCGGAAUCACUGGGCGUAAAGGGCGCGUAGGCGGCCGGCCAAGUCGGGGGUGAAAGCCUGUGGCUCAACCACAGAAUGGCCCUCGAUACUGGCUGGCUCGAGACCGGAAGAGGUUGGUGGAAUUGCGAGUGUAGAGGUGAAAUUCGUAGAUAUUCGCAAGAACACCGGUGGCGAAGGCGGCCAACUGGUCCGGAUCUGACGCUGAGGCGCGAAAGCGUGGGGAGCAAACAGG
rnacentral:rRNA from 1 species